CCACUGGUCUUCUUGUGCUUAUCCGGGCAAGAACUUAUCGAAAUACAAUAGAAGUUUUUACUUAGAAGAGAUUUUCAGCUGCUGUGGAUUGGAUUAUGCCAUUUGGAAUAAGAAUGCUGUUAAGAGCACACAAGCCAGGUUCCUCAAGUCCGUAGCAAAUUUUUCAAACGUUAAAUUUAAAAAUCACUACAUUUGAAUCUAGUGACAGGAGAAAUGGACAUGAAUAGAGACUAAAGAUCUAGCCCAAAUUUUAUAUUUACUUGUUAGAGGAUUUUGAACAAAUUACUAAAUUUCUUCAAGGUUCAAUUUCCCCAUUAACUAUAAUGAAUGGCACAUCAUUAUGGGGCCCUGGAGAAGCGUAAUUACUUGUAAUUGUAAUAAUCAUUGUUAUUAUUAUUAUACGUAUUUUGCUUUUAAAUGGAUAAGGAUUUUUAAG
rnacentral:sRNA from 1 species